UGGGGAAUCUUGGACAAUGGGGGCAACCCUGAUCCAGCGAUGCCGCGUGAGUGAAGAAGGCCUUCGGGUCGUAAAGCUCUUUAGGUUGGGACGAAGGGUAGCAGUUUAAGAGAUAGCUACUUUGACGGUACCGACAGAAUAAGCACCGGCAAACUCUGUGCCAGCAGCCGCGGUAAUACAGAGGGUGCGAGCGUUAAUCGGAGUUACUGGGCGUAAAGGGCGCGUAGGCGGUUCUAUGAGUGUGGUGUGAAAGCCCUGGGCUUAACCUAGGAAGUGCAUCGCAAACGAUAGAACUGGAGUAGAUGAGAGGGUGGCGGAAUUUCCGGUGUAGCGGUGAAAUGCGUAGAGAUCGGAAGGAACGUCAAUGGCGAAGGCAGCCACCUGGCAUCAUACUGACGCUGAGGCGCGAAAGCGUGGGGAGCGAACAGG
rnacentral:rRNA from 1 species